GCUGGGCAUGAAGGUGCACACCUGUAUCCCAGCGACUUGGGAGACGGGGAUUGAGCAGGGGGAUUGAGCCUGAGUUCUGGGCUAUGGUGCACGAUGCCCAUUGGGUGUCCCGGUAAGUUUGACAUCAAUAUGGCGACCUCCCAGGAGCGGGAGACCACCAGGUUGCCUAAGGAGAGGUGAACUGGCCUGGCUCAGAAAUGGAGCAGGUCAAAACUUUCUGCCUAUCCAUACUGGGACUGUGCUUGUGAAAAGCCACUGCUCGCCAGCCUUGGCAACACAGCAAGACCCU
rnacentral:SRP_RNA from 1 species